AUAAAUAGACAUUUGUUUUCCCCAGGCAAUAUUUACUCCAUAACUUCCUGAUAUCACUUUCAGUGGUGGUUCAGUGCUCUAAUGUGUAACAAAGCACUCCGGAAUCUGGUGGCUUGCAGCAUCAAUUUCCUGUUUUCUCUCACUGUCUAGGAAUCAAGACUCAACAGGACACUUCUCACUAGCAGUACCUGGAAGCUGGCAUCGGAUGGCAACGGAGACAGGAGUUAUCUGAGGUUUCUUUACUUAAAUGUCUGAUUUCUGGGCCAGGAUGGUGUCAAUGCGUGGAAGGUGUCAUGGGGUUGUUCUCAGACUAGACUUGGACUUAGACCAAAAGGGGAGAAAAAGCAUCAACACUUCUUGCUCUCUGGCCUGCUCAGAGGUGAGGGGUCUGAGCUACAUGGAAACGCCACCAUGCUUUCCCCUCAUGACAGUCCGUGUUCUCUUAAACCACAAGCCAAAUAAGCCAGCAAGAGAAUGGCCCAGGGGAGUGGUGACAGACACAGCUUCAUCCUGGACUCAGAUGAGGCCAACAAGGGAACAACCCAAGGAGAAUAGCAGAUGCCUGUGCCACUCUUUCCUAUGCACAUACCUAAGAGACAAGACAUUCGCCCAGAGGUGGAGUGAUGGCAGCACCAGGCCCCGAGAACCGACUGCAUCAUGAUUUCCUAUGUGUGCUCACGCAUGCAGAAGGCCAGAGGACAACCUUGGGUGUCAUUCCUCAGGUGUCAUCCAUCUUUGUUUUGUUUUGUUUUUUCAGAUUUAUUCUUUUAUUUUAUGGGAAGCAUGAGGGAAGGCUAGAAGACGAUUUUGGGUCCUUUGUAACUGGGUUAUAAGCAUUUCUGAAACUCCAUGUAGGUGCCAAGAAGCAAACCUCAGGCCCCUGCAAAGGCAGCAAGUGCUCUUGACGACUGAACCAUUUCUUCUCCAGCCUUUCCCCAGCCACAUACCUCUUGUCUUUUAAAAGCCUCUGGCUGGCUUGGAGCUGAUUAAUUAGGCUAGUCUAGCUUGCCAGAGAGACCCUGAGGUUGGCUCGUUUCUGUGUCUACAGCACUGGGGGUCACUGGUACCUGGCCUAUUUUAAUUCUUAAACUGUAUUUGAGUCUGUGAAUCUCUGGAGAGCUAUGGAAGGUGCUAGAGUUGCUGAGCUGUAUAUGCUUCUCCAGUGGUGAAAGCAAUGGUUACAAAGUCUAGGCCACUGAGCUAUCUCUGGCAGCUUCCAACUCUCUGUGACUCCAGUUCCAGGAGAUCUGAUGCCCCCUUCUGGCCUCUGUCAGCACUGCGCACACAUUAUGAAUAUACACACAUGCAGGCAAAAUACUUACACACAAAAUAAUAACUACACAAAGCCUAGUCCAAUGAACAGUAAUAAGACUUUGAGUGUAUUUAGGACCUGUGGUAUACCUCCCAUCCAUCCAUCCUCACAGUGACCUUGGGAAGUGGGAAGAAUAGGAAUUUUGUCACAUGGGUGGAGAAAGGAGUAAGAAAAAUCUCUGAUUCCUGUGUCCUGCCCUGCUCUACCAUUACAGGGAAGAAUCAGGACCUGCUACCCUCCUAAAGCAUGCCUUCCACGUGCACAGCUCUUGCUACAGGCAGAUUGGCUUAUUAAGAAGCAACCGGCCAGCCGGAUGGUGGUAGUGCUCACUUUUUAUUCCAGAAUUCAG
rnacentral:lncRNA from 1 species